GCUGGGUGCUGUGGUGUGUACCUCUAGUCCCAGCUCCUCAGGAGGCUCAGGCAAGAGGAUUGUUUGAACCCAGGAAUUAGAGGCCAACCUCAGUAAUACAGUCAGAUACUUGUCUGUC
rnacentral:sRNA from 1 species